rnacentral:rRNA from 1 species
AGAGUUUGAUCCUGGCUCAGAUUGAACGCUGGCGGAAUGCUUUACACAUGCAAGUCGAACGGCAGCACGGGAGCUUGCUCCUGGUGGCGAGUGGCGAACGGGUGAGUAACAUAUCGGAACGUAUCCAAUAAUGGGGGAUAACUAAUCGAAAGGUUGGCUAAUACCGCAUACGCCCUGAGGGGGAAAGCUAGGGAUCUUCGGACCUGGCGUUAAUGGAGCGGCCGAUAUCUGAUUAGCUAGUUGGUGGGGUAAAGGCCUACCAAGGCGACGAUCAGUAGCUGGUCUGAGAGGACGACCAGCCACACUGGAACUGAGACACGGUCCAGACUCCUACGGGAGUCAGCAGUGGGGAAUUUUGGACAAUGGGCGCAAGCCUGAUCCAGCCAUUCCGCGUGAGUGAAGAAGGCCUUCGGGUUGUAAAGCUCUUUCGCAAGGAAAGAAAACUUAUCCUCUAACAUAGGGUGAGGUUGACGGUACCUUGAUAAGAAGCACCGGCUAACUACGUGCCAGCAGCCGCGGUAAUACGUAGGGUGCGAGCGUUAAUCGGAAUUACUGGGCGUAAAGCGUGCGCAGGCGGUUCUGUAAGUCAGAUGUGAAAGCCCCGGGCUCAACCUGGGAACUGCGUUUGAAACUACAGGACUAGAGUAUGGCAGAGGGGGGUAGAAUUCCACGUGUAGCAGUGAGAUGCGUAGAGAUGUGGAGGAAUACCAAUGGCGAAGGCAGCCCCCUGGGUCAAUACUGACGCUCAUGCACGAAAGCGUGGGAGCAAACAGGAUUAGAUACCCUGGUAGUCCACGCCCUAAACGAUGUCUACUAGUUGUUGGGAGAGUAAAAUCUCUUAGUAACGCAGCUAACGCGUGAAGUAGACCGCCUGGGGAGUACGGUCGCAAGAUUAAAACUCAAAGGAAUUGACGGGGGCCCGCACAAGCGGUGGAUUAUGUGGAUUAAUUCGAUGCAACGCGAAAAACCUUACCUGGCCUUGACAUGUACCGAAUUUGGGAGAGAUUCCUUAGUGCUCGAAAGAGAACGGUAACACAGGCGCUGCAUGGCUGUCGUCAGCUCGUGUCGUGAGAUGUUGGGUUAAGUCCCGCAACGAGCGCAACCCUUGCCAAUAAUUGCCAUCAUUUAGUUGGGCACUUUAUUGGGACUGCCGGUGACAAACCGGAGGAAGGUGGGGAUGACGUCAAGUCCUCAUGGCCCUUAUGGCCAGGGCUUCACACGUAAUACAAUGGUCGGUACAGAGGGUUGCCAACCCGCGAGGGGGAGCUAAUCUCAGAAAGCCGAUCGUAGUCCGGAUUGAAGUCUGCAACUCGACUUCAUGAAGU